rnacentral:rRNA from 1 species
GAUGAACGCUGGCGGCGUGCUUAACACAUGCAAGUCGAGCGAGAAAAGUUCUUCGGAGCUUUUCUAGCGGCGGACGGGUGAGUAACACGUGGGCAACCUGCCUCAUAGAGGGGAAUAGCCUUCCGAAAGGAAGAUUAAUACCGCAUAACAUUGUUGAAAGGCAUCUUUUAACAAUCAAAGGAGCAAUCCGCUAUGAGAUGGGCCCGCGGCGCAUUAGCUAGUUGGUGAGGUAACGGCUCACCAAGGCGACGAUGCGUAGCCGACCUGAGAGGGUGAUCGGCCACAUUGGAACUGAGACACGGUCCAGACUCCUACGGGAGGCAGCAGUGGGGAAUAUUGCAUAAUGGGGGAAACCCUGAUGCAGCAACGCCGCGUGAGUGAUGAAGGUCUUCGGAUUGUAAAGCUCUGUCUUUAGGGACGAUAAUGACGGUACCUAAGGAGGAAGCCACGGCUAACUACGUGCCAGCCGCCGCUGUAAGAC